GUCUACGACCACACCAGACUGAAAACACCGGAUCCCGUCCGAUCUCCGAAGUUAAGCAGUUUCGGGCCGGGUUAGUACUUGGGAGGGAGACCACUUGGGAACCCCCGGUGUUGUAGACUUUU
rnacentral:rRNA from 1 species